rnacentral:rRNA from 1 species
UACAGAGGGGGCAAGCGUUGUUCGGAAUUAUUGGGCGUAAAGGGCGCGUAGGCGGCUAUGUAAGUCAGGCGUGAAAUCCCUCGGCUCAACCGGGGAACUGCGUCUGAUACUGGGCGGCUUGAAUGCGGGAGAGGGAUGCGGAAUUCCAGGUGUAGCGGUGAAAUGCGUAGAUAUCGAGAGGAACACCUGCGGCGAAGGCGGGUUGCUGGGCCGACACUGACGCUGAGGCGCGAAAGCCUGGGGAGCAAACGGG